CUCUUAAAUGCUUUACAGUUUAUCACAGUUGUUUUAUUUAUUAAACAUAUUUUUUAAAAACAUAAAGCCUUGGUAACUUUGAUAAACAUCAUAUUAUACAAAUCAUUUACAACAUUGCAUUACAUGAAAGAGAAAGUAAAGGCCACAUUGAACAUAGUCACAACUAGGAUUCAGAAUGACUCUGUUGUGCAUAAUACAGUUUGUUUGAAGCCGUUUACAUUUAUAACAUUUUUGAAACGCUCCGUUUUUCUUUUAAUAUUAUAGCUGUCAUACAGAAACAUACACAGACACUCAGGUUAACAAAAAUAUCAUCUAUAAUUAGAGCAAAACACAGAGGACGCAAUUUGAGAUUUCGCAGACAGGUUAUAUGUUAUGUAUAUUAAUAUGUACGAUUUUUUUCUGUUGCAUUAAUUGGACCGAAGCAUGAGAACAUCAUUAAAUACAUGAAAAUACACUGAAGUUGUUACACUCAUGCCUGCAUGGGUCUAACAUUUAGAUAGAACAUUGUUGUUUAAAACCAACAUAUGGGCAGUUUUUAUUUCUUUUUUAUUCAGAUCGAUUAAACAUAAAAAGUUACGUUUAAUUAGAAUCAUCAGAUAUCCUGAAAAUCAUCCUAAGCUGUCAUUUUCUCUGUGAAGUUCUGAAGUAUUUGUGGUUAAUUUUUCUUUACUUUGUCACACAGAAAGACUGAAUACUGUACAUUCAAACAUUUAUCGAUGAUACAUUUUUUCUAUGUUCAACCAGUCGGUUGCAUCACUGUAGUGCUAACAUGACGCACUUUUUUUAUUUAUAGUACUUGAGAUAAAUUAAAAAAAAACCAUAACAGAUUCUGAUUAAGGCACUAAAAAGGUUUUAUGCACAGUUAGAAACAACCAGACAAAUUUACUGAUGAUAUUUUCAUUAUGUGUUAUUGCAUAUGGAGCACUGCUGGUUUCUUAUCAGGGGAGUUUUUACAUAACCACACAAUAAACUCACAAACCUAACUUACCUUAUGCAUUAAUGGCCACUUAAUGAGCAGCUCAGUUUAAAUAAGAAGUUUAAAAUCGUCCAUUUUGCAUUGGAUGCACCAAAGUCCCAUCAAGCAAUAUCUGACGCAGUAAAUGUGAAUUAAAUUACGUCUGAUAUGUUGGUUUCAACAUUCAUGCUUGAAUUUUAUGGUUGCUUCAACAUAUUUUUCUUUUCAUUUGAUAAACCAGAGCAUUUUUUUUCCCAGAGGUUAAGCUUCAUUUUAAAUAAAAUGCCGUUUUGAUAAAAUGGAUAGAGUAAAUAAGGGAUAUUAUUGCAAAAUUAUUACAUAUUUAAGAGAAAAUACUAUCCAGACCAACAUGACCAUGUGGUAAAAGUAAUUGCCCUCCUUUGAAGCCUUUGUGACAUUUACCAGAAAACAUGUUGAUGAUCCUCAACACUUUGCUAAAAUACUCUGCAGACUAAACAGGUGGUCAGGUAAGAUUCUGACAUAAUGUCAGUUUAUAUACUGCCAAGGCUCUAGACUGCAACCAGUUUUGUCGGAGAUGCAACCUAAUUUCUCAAAGUUGCGGCUAAAAAAUCGGAGGUCGCACCGCUGUGAUCAGUCAUCGAAAGGCAAAAAAAAAAAUUCACCGAUAUAUGAACAAACACAAACCAGAUCCAUUUUAUGGUCUAAACCAGUCAGAGAUGGUGGAAGUCUGCCUGGGAAUGGUUCAGAUAUUCCUACAUGUGACAGGCCAGGCUAGGCUAGGCAAGACUAGGCUAGGAUAGGCUAGGCUAGGAUAGGCUAGGCGAGGCUAGGAUAGGCUAGGCUACGCUAGGCUAGGCUAAGCUAUGCUAGUCAGAUAAUCAGAGUAGAUGUAGCACAGAUGAGGAGGGAAACUGAAAAGAACAAUUGAAAACUUUUUCAUCAAUUUAAGCCCUAAACCGUCUGAAAGUCAUUACCAAUACUGAAAUUAAAUAUUCAUUCUUAAAUUAAAUGUUAAAUUUGAGAUGCUUAACCCAUAAAAUAUUUCUUCUUAUAAUUUAAUUUUUAUCUAUUUCAUUAAUUUAUCUUAUUUUGGAAUGUUUUUAAGUUUCAAUUUCAGCUCAUUGAAGCACUUUAAACCCUUUUUUAAUUUCAGUUCUGCUUCAUAUAAAGAUUUUUACUAGAUUGUUAAUUAAAUGAUUUACACAUUAAAAUUGCCUUAAUGGAGAUUGAUUUAAAAAAAGUUAACCUGUGAAACUGAGAUGUCAAAUUCAAUGUGGUUUAAAAGUUUGGUGGAGCUAAAAAGUUUAAAAACGUUUUAGGUAUUAAAUAAACUCCUGCCUGUUGCAUUGUGGCUGAAUUAAAACCAGGAUUCCUCUUCAGAAAUGUAAAAUAGUCGCAAAUUCUUGGUGGUAGUUUAUGGUAAAGGGUCUAGAGGACAGUUUCUUUUCCACAUUUAUAAAAACCUGGUUGAUUUUUAUAGAUUUUCCUAUUUCCAAAACUAUUCUAAGUCGUUUUGAGCAGAUAAUUUAAAAACUAAAUCGCAUAGAGGUAAAAUGUGACCAUUUUCUCCAGUUAGUCUAUGUAAUUAGAGAAAAAGAGCUGAUUUGCUGCAUUGAAAUGACUUAAUGUAAUCUCUUGUGUUGGUUCAGUUAAAAUUUCUUUCAUAAUUAUAAUAUUUUAAAGUUUUUAAUAGUUAGUGAAAAGAAGUUUUCCCUUUAAAGGGAAUAAAUUACUUUCUAUUUCUCUGCCUUGUUUUCAGCCAAAUGUGAAACUCUUCUAACC